rnacentral:ncRNA from 2 species
GGAAUAUACAGAUAUUUGGGUACCGAUUUAGGUUUAAUAGGGAAGACGGUUGAGCCGUCGCGGUCCCGCCGCUGUAACCGGGGACGAACUCUGCCAGAGGCCACUGUUCCAUGCCAGUGGGAUGGGAAGGCGCAAGUAGUAGGAUGAUCCGGGAGCCAGAAGACCUGCCCGAUAUAAUCUGCAGUU